rnacentral:snRNA from 1 species
GUGUUACUCUGGUAGCACAUAUCCUAAAAUUGGAACGAUACAGAGAAGAUUAGCAUGGCCCCUUUACAA